rnacentral:rRNA from 1 species
AGCAGCCGCGGUAAUUCCAGCUCCAAUAGCGUAUAUUAAAGUUGUUGUGGUUAAAAAGCUCGUAGUUGAACCUUGGGCCUGGCUGGCCGGUCCGCCUCACCGCGUGUACUGGUCCGGCCGGGCCUUUCCCUCUGUGGAACCCCAUGCCCUUCACUGGGUGUGGCGGGGAAACAGGACUUUUACUGUGAAAAAAUUAGAGUGCUCCAGGCAGGCCUAUGCUCGAAUACAUUAGCAUGGAAUAAUAGAAUAGGACGUGUGGUUCUAUUUUGUUGGUUUCUAGGACCGCCGUAAUGAUUAAUAGGGACAGUCGGGGGCAUCAGUAUUCAAUUGUCAGAGGUGAAAUUCUUGGAUUUAUUGAAGACUAACUACUGCGAAAGCAUUUGCCAAGGAUGUUUUCAUUAAUCAAGAACGAAAGUUAGGGGAUCGAAGACGAUCAGAUACCGUCGUAGUCUUAACCAUAAACUAUGCCGACUGGGGAUCGGAUGAUGUUAAUUUUAUAAUGACUCA